AUUGAACGCUGGCGGCAGGCCUAACACAUGCAAGUCGAGCGAGCGGCGGACGGGUGAGUAAUGUAUGGGGACUGCCCGAUAGAGGGGGAUAACUACUGGAAACGGUGGCUAAUACCGCAUACUAUCGGAUAACCCAUAUGGGAUUAGCUAGUUGGUGAGGUAACGGCUCACCAAGGCGACGAUCUCUAGCUGGUCUGAGAGGAUGAUCAUGCCAACUGGGACGUAGACAAGGCCCAGAAUCCAAGGGAGGCAGGAGUGGGGAAUAGUGCACAAUGAGCGAAAGCCUGAUGCAGCCAUGCCGCGUGUAUGAAGAAGGCCGUAGGGUUGGAAAGUACUUUCAGCGGGGAGGCGUUACCCGCAGAAGAAGCACCGGCUAACUCCGUGCCAGCAGCGGCGGUAAUA
rnacentral:rRNA from 1 species